GGUGGCUUCGUAUAGUGGCUAGUACAACACGUUGUGGUUCAACAGUUAUCACCGUAUCAAAUCCCGUGUAAACCUGGGUUCGAUUCCCAGAGCCGCCA